UCUCCUACAUUAUAAAGCCCUCUGUUUGUGGACAUCUUCUUACAAGGGCUUUGGAAGUUAAUUCCAGCACCUUAAAUUGAACCUGGAAACAAAAAGCCAAUGAAGAUGGUAGAGGAUCGGAGUUCUAUGUUCCAAUCCACAGACAUCAGUUAAAACUCUAGCAGCUGCGUUUUGUUUCCAGACAAACUUCAAAAGGAAGUCUCAGGCAGCCGGAGCGCCACUCUCCUCGGUUCCUGGACAACUGCUGGACGUCAGUGACCAUUGUAAGCAGAAUUGGAGAGGUGAAUGAGAGAAGAGGAUAUAAAGAGUCUGCUAUCCUUUCAGAACGGACGAGUCCUGUCACGAAAGAAGGCAAGCGCUCUGCAAACAUCCAGCGUGUGGAGGGACUGCUCCAAGUCAGUCUGUGGGUUACAGAAGAAGGCCAGCAGGAUCACAUCUUGGUUGAUGUGACAACUUGAAUUUAUCUUAGCAAUAAAGGAAAGAUCAAAAUGCA